rnacentral:lncRNA from 1 species
CCGCCUGAGCACCAUCCAAAUUGGAGUCAAAGCACAGAAAGGAAGUGCUGCCUGGGGAGGCCGAAGCUGGGGGAUAAAAUCCUACUCCUAUGCUCCAGGGAUAGCCGGUGGCUACUCAAGGGAGAGGGAAGACCCGCAUCUCUUUCCUUUCAGGUGUUUGCACUCUUCUAUCUCUUGCUUUCUCUAAUGCUGUCCAGGACACUUA